UACGAAGGGGGCUAGCGUUGCUCGGAAUCACUGGGCGUAAAGGGUGCGUAGGCGGGUCUUUAAGUCAGGGGUGAAAUCCUGGAGCUCAACUCCAGAACUGCCUUUGAUACUGAAGAUCUUGAGUUCGGGAGAGGUGAGUGGAACUGCGAGUGUAGAGGUGAAAUUCGUAGAUAUUGGGAAGAACACCGGUGGCGAAGGCGGCUCUCUGGACCGAUACUGACGCUGAGGCGCGAAAGCGUGGGGGAGCAAACAGG
rnacentral:rRNA from 1 species